AACUCUCAGCAACGGAUAUCUUGGCUCUUGCAACGAUGAAGAACGCAGCGAAAUGCGAUACGUAGUGUGAAUUGCAGAAUUCCGGAAUCAUCGAGUUUUGAACGCAAGUGCGCC
rnacentral:rRNA from 1 species